rnacentral:lncRNA from 1 species
CAUUAGUCAUGUCCUAGUUAAAUAAAGCUAAGUUCGGUCCUUUUUAGCCGAAAAAAAUAUCAGCAAAGUGUGGUUUGAGUUUGGCGAUAUAAUCAGCUGUUAAAUUAUGAAACUAUUAUGGCGAAUCAGUUGCAUCUUGUCUAGUGUAAUCGCCAUAUUAUGGAUAUUUCCUCUAGUUGGGGCAAGUAAAUAUCACCCCGAGGCUUUACUGACAACGGAACAAAAAGUUAAAAGACACGGUUACCCGAUCGAAGUAUACCAAAUUACCACGCAAGACGAUUAUCUGUUGCCUCUCUACCGUGUACCCCAUGGAAUAUAUAACAAAAAUCGCGACAACAAAAACAAAAGUGUGGUCGUUUUACUCCAUGGGAUGGGAGGAUGUCCGGACAACUAUCUUCUUUUUGGAAGAGAUUCUCUGCCGUAUUUUUUUGCCGAAAGAGAUUUUGAUGUGUUCCUGUUUUCAUCGAGGGGUACACCCAGCCCUUUCAAAAGAAACCAUAAGAGGUGGGAUUGGAAUGAAGACCUAGACUACUGGGU